rnacentral:rRNA from 1 species
UACAGAGGCCCCAAGCGUUACUGAGAAUCACUGGGUUUAAAGGGUGCGUAGGUGGUCCGUUAAGUUCGUUGUGAAAGCCCUGGGCUCAACCCAGGAACUGCUUCGAAUACUGGCGGACUUGGAGGCUAGUAGAGGUCACUGGAACUGACGGUGGAGCGGUGAAUGCGUAGAUAUCGUCAGGAACGCCAAUGGUGAAGACAGGUGACUGGGCUAGUUCUGACACUGAGGCACGAAAGCGUGGGGAUCAAACGGG